rnacentral:tRNA from 1 species
GCCCCGGUAGCUCAGUGGAUAGAGCGACGGUUUCCUAAACCGCAGGUCGCGAGUUCGACUCUCGCCCGGGGCACCA